AACACGUAGGGGGCGAGCGUUGUCCGGAUUUAUUGGGCGUAAAGAGCUCGUAGGCGGCUCAGUUAGUCGGGUGUGAAACCUCCAGGCUCAACCUGGAGACGCCACCCGAUACUGCUGUGGCUAGAGUCCGGUAGGGGAGCGUGGAAUUCCUGGUGUAGCGGUGAAAUGCGCAGAUAUCAGGAGGAACACCAGCGGCGAAGGCGGCGCUCUGGGCCGGAACUGACGCUGAGGAGCGAAAGCGUGGGGAGCGAACAGGA
rnacentral:rRNA from 1 species